rnacentral:rRNA from 1 species
CUGCUGCCUUCCGUAGGAGUCUGGGCCGUGUCUCAGUCCCAAUGUGGCCGUUCAACCUCUCGGUCCGGCUACUGAUCGUCGACUUGGUAGGCCGUUACCCCACCAACUAUCUAAUCAGACGCGAGUCCAUCCUUAGGCGCCUCAGCUUUGGUAUAUCUACGAUGCCGUUAAUAUACUUUAUAUGGUAUUACCGUCCGUUUCCAGACGCUAUCCCUUUCCUAAGGGCAGGUUACUCACGCGUUACUCACCCGUCCGCCACUCAGU